AGUUUCCGCUUCACUACGAGUUUAGUGCGUUUAUGAGCUUCGUGCGUGUGAUGAUCUGAUUUUAGCGUCCGAAACGCAGCAGCCGCCCGGGCGGAGCCGCGACUCCGGGCGGAGCUCCGCGUUCCCCGGCCGGGAUGAGACGGCCGCUGCCGCAGGAACGGAGAGCACGCCGCUGCCUCCACAACCCCGACCUGGAGCACCAGCAACCCGCCCAGCUGGACCAGCAGCACCACCCUCAACAUCUGCAUCAGCACAGCUGGCGACGCAGCACAGCUUCACCUGGCCAGCGACCACGGAGACUACACUACCCAGCAUGCCCCUGCAGACACCAGGCUGUCCCUCGGACCGGCCCGGUGGCCCGGCAGCUGUGGUUGCCAUGACGACCGCCGGCGCCCAGGGGCUGCAGCGGUGCGUCCUGCAGCUGUGCAGCUUCUUCUCGCGGUGCGUCUGUGGACGUCUGCGCCGCCACACGCGGCCCAACAGGUUCUGUGUCCACGGUCAGAACUGGUACCACAAACACGUGUCUGAGGUCUGCCGCCGUGCCCGGAGGACCUCCCCCUCCAGGAAUGUGAAACAAAGAUGUGUGAUCAGGAUGUGUGAGGAGGCGUGACGAGAGAACCGGGCGCCACCGUCAUCAGCGCCACCGUCAUCAGCGCCACCGUCAUCAGCGCCACCUUCAUCAGCGCCACCUUCAUCAUCGCCACCUUCAUCACCGCCACCGUCAUCGGCGCCACCUUCAUCACCGCCACCGUCAUCGGCGCCACCGUCAUCGGCGCCACCGUCAUCACCGCCACCUUCAUCACCGCCACCUUCAUCACCGCCACCUUCAUCAUCGCCACCUUCAUCACCGCCACCUUCAUCACCGCCACCUUCAUCACCGCCACCUUCAUCACCGCCACCUUCAUCAUCGCCACCUUCAUCACCGCCACCUUCAUCACCGCCACCUUCAUCACCGCCACCUUCAUCAUCGCCACCUUCAUCACCGCCACCUUCAUCACCGCCACCUUCAUCACCGCCACCUUCAUCACCGCCACACAGAGUUGUGACUGUAACAGAUGCUGUGUCAAUAAAGUUUGGUUGAGUUGAACAAACGCUUCCUGUUUUGGCAUCAUUGUGGCAUUAUCUGGCCCCGCCCCUCCC
rnacentral:lncRNA from 1 species